rnacentral:rRNA from 1 species
CCUACGGGUGGCAGCAGUGAGGAAUAUUGGUCAAUGGACGAGAGUCUGAACCAGCCAAGUAGCGUGAAGGAUGACUGCCCUAUGGGUUGUAAACUUCUUUUAUAUGGGAAUAAAAUGUUCCACGUGUGGGAUUUUGUAUGUACCAUAUGAAUAAGGAUCGGCUAACUCCGUGCCAGCAGCCGCGGUAAUACGGAGGAUCCGAGCGUUAUCCGGAUUUAUUGGGUUUAAAGGGAGCAUAUGUGGAUUGUUAAGUCAGUUGUGAAAGUUUGCGGCUCAACCGUAAAAUUGCAGUUGAAACUGGCAGUCUUGAGUACAGUAGAGGUGGGCGGAAUUCGUGGUGUAGCGGUGAAAUGCUUAGAUAUCACGAAGAACUCCGAUUGCGAAGGCAGUUCACUGGACUGCAACUGACACUGAGGCUCGAAAGUGUGGGUAUCAAACAGGAUUAGAUACCCGUGUAGUC